rnacentral:rRNA from 1 species
GGCGUGUGACUGCGUACCUUUUGUAUAAUGGGUCAGCGACUUAUAUUCUGUAGCAAGGUUAACCGAAUAGGGGAGCCGAAGGGAAACCGAGUCUUAACUGGGCGUUAAGUUGCAGGGUAUAGACCCGAAACCCGGUGAUCUAGCCAUGGGCAGGUUGAAGGUUGGGUAACACUAACUGGAGGACCGAACCGACUAAUGUUGAAAAAUUAGCGGAUGACUUGUGGCUGGGGGUGAAAGGCCAAUCAAACCGGGAGAUAGCUGGUUCUCCCCGAAAGCUAUUUAGGUAGCGCCUCGUGAAUUCAUCUCCGGGGGUAGAGCACUGUUUCGGCAAGGGGGUCAUCCCGACUUACCAACCCGAUGCAAACUGCGAAUACCGGAGAAUGUUAUCACGGGAGACACACGGCGGGUGCUAACGUCCGUCGUGAAGAGGGAAACAACCCAGACCGCCAGCUAAGGUCCCAAAGUCAUGGUUAAGUGGGAAACGAUGUGGGAAGGCCCAGACAGCCAGGAUGUUGGCUUAGAAGCAGCCAUCAUUUAAAGAAAGCGUAAUAGCUCACUGGUCGAGUCGGCCUGCGCGGAAGAUGUAACGGGGCUAAACCAUGCACCGAAGCUGCGGCAGCGAC